rnacentral:rRNA from 1 species
AUUGAACGCUGGCGGCAGGCCUAACACAUGCAAGUCGAACGAGUGGCGGACGGGUGAGUAAUGUAUGGGAAACUGCCCGAUGGAGGGGGAUAACUACUGGAAACGGUGGCUAAUACCGCAUACUAUCAGAUGAGCCCAGAUGGGAUUAGCUAGUUGGUGGGGUAACGGCUCACCAAGGCUACGAUCCCUAGCUGGCCUGAGAGGAUGAUCAGCCACACUGGAACUGAGACACGGGCCAGACUCCUACGGGAGGCAGCAGUGGGGAAUAUUGAACAAUGGGCGCAAGCCUGAUGCAGCCAUGCCGCGUGGAUGAAGAAGGUCUUCGGGUGGUAAAGUACUUUCGGCGGGGAGGCGUUACCCGAAGAAGAAGCACCGGCUAACUCCGUGCCAGCAGCCGCGGUAAUUC